GGCACCGGGAAAAGCUCAGAGACCCCAGACGGAGGGGAGGCGGGUCUGCUUCUCAGGAGGUGAGCCCCCGCCGGGUUUAAUCCUGCGUGGGCUCGGGGGAGGGAAAGGAGAAGAGACGGCGAUUAGGCAGGGAAGGUACAUGCCCACCCCAAAUCUAGCAGCUUGCUGUGCAUGCAAAGUUAAGUCAACUGUUUCCGUGCUGCGGGCCUGGCCCGCGCUCAGGCAGAACGAGGGCCGGCCGUGGCUGAAGGCCGGGGAAAAAAAAACCAUUUGGAGACUCCACCUUAGCUCACAGGAGAGGGAUGGGAGGGAAGGGAACUCACUCCGACACUCGGGAGGCAAGGACGGGAAGGGUUUGCAGACAGGGUUCCUCCAACACGCAACUUGCCUUUUUCAGCUAGGAGAUGGCUGCUCAGUCCCAAGAAUGCCUUUCCCUCCAGUUCAAGCAAGCCAAACGCCAUCCCAGACACGCAUGCUUCGAUACUACAAAAUACUCUUUUCUCUAAGGACCAUCUAAAACCACUACAGUUUGUGCAAUCACUGCAUUUAUUAUUCAUUUUUAAACUCUCUCUCUCGCUCGCUCUCUCUCGCGCUCUCUCUCCCUGUAGAAAUUUUUUUUAAGCUUUUCUUUUUUUAUGCAAAACUAAUCAUUUCACUUUUUCCACUCCAUCAUAAAAUCUCCUCUAAAAACACGACGACAAGAGAACAAACAUGGCACAGACACAGAGAAUUAUCUCCCUGUUUUUUUUUUUUUUUAGUUUUCCUCGGGGUUACGGGGAAGGGAAGGGGAUACUUUCAAAUAAACUCCUCCCUCCACCCCACGCCCUUCCUAAAGGGCACGGGGAGAUCUUUUCCUCCCAUCUCCGCUACAGAGCAUGGGCAAAAAUUUCGGAGGGGGAGCGUAACCCACGUGAAUACGAAGGUCGGUUAGUCAGCCCCAAGCGGCUCGUCCACCUGAGGGAACUUUUGAGGCUGCUGCUGCCUUCGAGUUAGCAGACCUAACCCGAAAAGAGCACGGGAUCUUUGUUUCAGAUCCAGAGGUUCAGGGUUUGGUUCCCACCUGGUGACCCCCCCGGGGGGAGAUGCGUCACGCAAGCAGUCGAGCUGUGUCUGCAAGCCGGACCAGACUCCUUUUCUUCCUCCACAGAGAGGAUCUACCGCACGAGUCCCUCUGCCACAACCAGCCCCCCCGUCUCCUCACCACAGGAAGAAGGUCCUCGCGGAGUGUCCCUACAACAACCCACUGUUUUGCUCUUCACAGACAGUUCCCCUUGCUUGUCACUCUGGAGAAAGGCAAAAACCCUUCGAUUAAACAAUUCCUGCCCCCCGCCCCCAAAGAACACCGUACAAGAGACACUGGGGAAAAGAAUUCUGCCAAGCGAACGCAUCUUGGCCAAAACACAUCGAGAGUUUCCUAUUAAAGUUCCCUUUUAUCUCCCACUUAAACGCUUCGGUUUGUUUGUUUGUUUUCAGAACCUCAUUACCACAAAACGAAACACGUCACCACACGCACACCAAACAGCAACUUAACAACCUAAAGUGACUGGCCGGUUUGCAUCCACCCCACAGAGAAGCUCCUCUUAUCCUGCAGCCUCCAAACGGUUGAGUUUUGUUGUUGUUGAGCAGGGGAAUAAGGGAAAUAUCUCCUUGCUACUUCCCGAAGAGCUUUUCCCUGAAGUACAAACUGUGAAGCUGCAGUCGCAUGGAUAGGCUAUGCUAAAAUAAGGGAUCCCCGGGUGUGCCAGGCACAGGAAAGAUGCAAAAGUAAAGACACAAAGAAUACAGGCAGGUAUUAAUACAGACACGCACACGAGUCCAACGAGUUAUAGGAAGCCUUAGCUUGGUGAAUGGAUCGGGGAAGUCUCUUUCUCCCUGCCCCUAAGCUUCAGCUGUGAAUGCGACCGCAAAAGCGUCCACUGAGCUCUUAAAACGAGGAAAGGAAAAGGAAGAGGGGAGAGAACCAGCACACGUGCUUCUGAUGCGGGAGAGAGUUAUUUCUUGUCAGCACCUUUGGAGGACAGUUGUACGGGCCCUUUCAGAUCCCGAAAUGACAGCGGGGAGCC